AGGAGCCGGACAUAGUAGAAUGACUUCAUCUCCAGGCACUGUUACCACAAACAGGUCAAAAGCUGCUUCAGACAGAAGGAACAACAGGAACAGAAAUGGAGCCAUGAGAGCUGAGAGAGUGUUGA